rnacentral:rRNA from 1 species
UACGAAGGGGGCUAGCGUUGUUCGGAAUGACUGGGCGUAAAGGGCGCGUAGGCGGCGCAUUUAGUCAGGCGUGAAAGCCCUGGGCUCAACCUAGGAAUUGCGUUUGAUACUGGUGCGCUGGAGUGCGGGAGAGGAUGGUGGAAUUCCCAGUGUAGAGGUGAAAUUCGUAGAUAUUGGGAAGAACACCGGUGGCGAAGGCGGCCAUCUGGACCGUUACUGACGCUGAGGCGCGAAAGCGUGGGGAGCAAAC